UACGGAGGAUGCAAGCGUUAUCCGGAAUCAUUGGGCGUAAAGAGCGUGUAGGCGGUUCGGUAAGUCGGCUGUGAAAGUCCAGGGCUCAACCCUGGGAUGCCGGUCGAUACUGCCGGACUAGAGUUCGGAAGAGGCGAGUGGAAUUCCCGGUGUAGCGGUGAAAUGCGCAGAUAUCAGGAAGAACACCUAUGGCGAAGGCAGCUCUCUGGGACGGUACUGACGCUGAGACGCGAAAGCGUGGGGAGCGAACAGG
rnacentral:rRNA from 1 species